rnacentral:lncRNA from 1 species
CAUAUUGAAUGACCGUGGUGUCGCAGGUCUAAGGAUCAGUUGUACCACUGCAACAUCGAACCAGUUACUGACGAAUGAGUAGACAUCCAUGUAACUGUUCGUAGUUGGUCACGCUCAGUACCCUUGUUCUCCAACAACCACCUGCAUGUUCGCUCCAGUGUCCCCACACUGAUGACUCGAGAUUCGUCAUCCUAAAAGGGAAGCGGCACACACAUCAAUCUUACCGGAUCAAUCAUCGCCCCCAUAUUGAUCCUCCGAUUGAGAGCAUUUAUGAAUUAAUCACCAAUAAUAUGUAUCUCAAAUUCUCAACUCUUGAGAAUACAUAUUAUUAUCUUAUUAAUUCAAAAGACGAUUCAUGAACACAUUUAACAUGAAUGGAAUAAAAGGCCCAAUUAUAUAAAUAAUAAAGAUUAAGUAUAAAUAUAUGUCCUAUAGAAAAUAAAAUGCGUCAGCCUGA